rnacentral:rRNA from 2 species
UGGGGAAUAUUGCGCAAUGGGCGGAAGCCUGACGCAGCAACGCCGCGUGCGGGAUGACGGCCUUCGGGUUGUAAACCGCUUUCAGCAGGGACGAAGCUUUUGUGACGGUACCUGCAGAAGAAGCACCGGCCAACUACGUGCCAGCAGCCGCGGUGAUACGUAGGGUGCGAGCGUUGUCCGGAAUUAUUGGGCGUAAAGAGCUUGUAGGCGGUUUGUCGCGUCGAAAGUGAAAACUCAGGCCUUAAUCCUGAGCUUGCUUUCGAUACGGGCUGACUAGAGGAAGGUAGGGGAGAGUGGAAUUCCUGGUGGAGCGGUGGAAUGCGCAGAUAUCAGGAGGAACACCAGUGGCGAAGGCGGCUCUCUGGACCUUUCCUGACGCUGAGAAGCGAAAGCGUGGGGAGCAAACAGG